rfam:Butyrivibrio proteoclasticus strain P18 genome assembly, contig: Ga0066879_108
UUUAACAUUUGGCAAAGCAGGCGAAAGCCUGCGGCGCAAAGCUAUAGGGACUUUAAAAUGUCAGCCAGUUGUGCCU